rnacentral:tmRNA from 1 species
GGGGGCGUAAUGGUUUCGACGGGGACCACGGACCUCAGUAAGCGAGUAGAGGCGCACAACCGCUUAAAAUGUGCAAAACUUAAAAUAAACGACAACAAUACAGUUCGUUUAGCAGCUUAAUGCUGCUCGUCCACCCAAGGAGCACCGCGGCCUUGGCUUGGGCGUCGAGAAGCGGUAAAGGUGCACAGAGGAGCGCUCUGUACUCUGUCAUCAAUCAAAGAGCUGCCCUGUGACUAAUCCCGUUAUUAGGAGUAGACACAGGAAAGACUAAAAUGAUAACUACACUCGUAGAAAGCUGAGGCGAGUGAUUUUCGGACAGGAGUUCGAUUCUCCUCGCCUCCACCA